UGUAGUAUCUGGGCAAACGCCCUUCAUCUA
rnacentral:piRNA from 1 species